CCUACGGGGGACAGCAGUGAGGAAUAUUGGUCAAUGGGCGCGAGCCUGAACCAGCCACGUAGCGUGAAGGAUGACUGCCCUCCGGGUUGUAAACUUUUUUUAUAAAGGAAUAAAGUGAGGCACGAGUGCCUUUUUGUAUGUACUUUAUGAAUAAGGAUCGGCUAACUCCGUGCCAGCAGCCGCGGUAAUACGGAGGAUCCGAGCGUUAUCCGGAUUUAUUGGGUUUAAAGGGAGCGUAGAUGGGUUGUUAAGUCAGUUGUGAAAGUUUGCGGCUCAACCGUAAAAUUGCAAUUGAUACUGGCAGCCUUGAGUACUGUUGAGGUAGGCGGAAUUCGUGGUGUAGCGGUGAAAUGCUUAGAUAUCACGAAGAACUCCGAUUGCGAAGGCAGCUUACUAAACUGCCACUGACACUGAGGCGCGAAAGUGUGGGUAGCAAACAGGAUUAGAUACCCCUGUAGUC
rnacentral:rRNA from 1 species